UACGGGGGGGGGCAAGCGUUGCUCGGAAUUACUGGGCGUAAAGGGCUCGUAGGCGGCCAACUAAGUCGGAUGUGAAAUCCCCAGGCUUAACCUGGGAACUGCAUCCGAUACUGGAUGGCUUGAAUCCGGGAGAGGGAUGCAGAAUUCCAGGUGUAGCGGUGAAAUGCGUAGAUAUCUGGAGGAAUACCGGUGGCGAAGGCGGCAUCCUGGACCGGCAUUGACGCUGAGGAGCGAAAGCUAGGGGAGCAAACGGG
rnacentral:rRNA from 1 species